AUUGAACGCUGGCGGCAGGCCUAACACAUGCAAGUCGAACGAGUGGCGGACGGGUGAGUAAUGUCUGGGAAACUGCCUGAUGGAGGGGGAUAACUACUGGAAACGGUAGCUAAUACCGCAUACCAUCGGAUGUGCCCAGAUGGGAUUAGCUAGUAGGUGGGGUAACGGCUCACCUAGGCGACGAUCCCUAGCUGGUCUGAGAGGAUGACCAGGCCAACUGGGACUGGGGACAGGGCCAGGCUCCCACGGGGGGCAGCAGUGGGGAAUAUUGCACAAUGGGCGCAAGCCUGAUGCAGCCAUGCCGCGUGUAUGAAGAAGGCCUUCGGGUUGUAAAGUACUUUCAGCGGGGAGGCGUUACCAACAGAAUAAGCACCGGCUAACUUCGUGCCAGCCGCCGCGGUAAUAC
rnacentral:rRNA from 1 species